rnacentral:rRNA from 1 species
CCUACCUUUAACAGGGGGAUAGCCCGAAGAAAUUCGGAUUAAUACCCCAUACAACUAUAGAUAAGCAUUUAUUUAUAUUUAAAACUCCGGUGGUUAAAGAUGGGCAUGCGUGACAUUAGAUAGUUGGUGAGGUAACGGCUCACCAAGUCUACGAUGUCUAGGGGGUCUGAGAGGAUGGUCCCCCACACUGGUACUGAGACACGGACCAGACUCCUACGGGAGGCAGCAGUGAGGAAUAUUGCGCAAUGGAGGAAACUCUGACGCAGCCAUGCCGCGUGCAGGAUGACAGCCCUACGGGUUGUAAACUGCUUUUAUACAGGAAGAAUUUUCCGCACGUGUGCGGGGUUGACGGUACUGUACGAAUAAGCAUCGGCUAACUCCGUGCCAGCAGCCGCGGUAAUACGGAGGAUGCAAGCGUUAUCCGGAUUUAUUGGGUUUAAAGGGUGCGUAGGCGGGGUAAUAAGUCAGUGGUGAAAUCCUGCAGCUUAACUGUAGAAUUGCCAUUGAUACUGAUACCCUGGUAGUCCACGCUGUAAACUAUGAUCACUAGCUGUUGGCGAUACAUCGAUCAGCGGCAAAGCGAAAGCAUUAAGUGAUCCACCUGGGGAGUACGGUCGCAAGAUUGAAACUCAAAGGAAUUGACGGGGGCCCGCACAAGCGGUGGAACAUGUGGUUUAAUUGGAUGAUACGCGAGGAACCUUACCUGGGCUUAAAUGCAGAUUACGUUUCGGGAAACCGAAAUUCUCUUCGGAGCGAUUUGCAAGGUGCUGCAUGGUUGUCGUCAGCUCGUGCCGUGAGGUGUCGGGUUAAGUCCCAUAACGAGCGCAACCCCUAUCGUUAGUUGCCAGCGGAUCAUGCCGGGGACUCUAACGAAACUGCCGGUGUAAACCGAGAGGAAGGUGGGGAUGACGUCAAAUCAGCACGGCCCUUAUGUCCAGGGCUACACACGUGUUACAAUGGUCGGUACAGAGGGCAGCUACCUGGUGACAGGAUGCUAAUCUCGAAAGCCGGUCUUAGUUCGGAUCGAAGUCUGCAACUCGACUUCGUGAAGCUGGAAUCGCCAGUAAUCGCGUAUCAGCAACGACGCGGUGAAUACGUUCCCGGGCCUUGUACACACCGCCCGUCAAGCCAUGGAAGCUGGGGGUACCUGAAGUCUGUAACCGCAAGGAGCGGCCUAGGGUAAAACUAGUGACUGGGGCUAAGUCG